UACGGAGGGUGCAAGCGUUAUCCGGAUUCACUGGGUUUAAAGGGUGUGUAGGUGGGUUGGUAAGUCAGUGGUGAAAUCUCCGGGCUUAACCCGGAAACUGCCAUUGAUACUAUCAGUCUUGAAUACCGUGGAGGUUAGCGGAAUAUGUCAUGUAGCGGUGAAAUGCUUAGAUAUGACAUAGAACACCAAUUGCGAAGGCAGCUGGCUACACGAAUAUUGACACUGAUGCACGAAAACGUGGGGAUCAAACAGG
rnacentral:rRNA from 1 species